rnacentral:rRNA from 1 species
AGCGAACGCUGGCGGCGUGCUUAACACAUGCAAGUCGAGCGAAGGUGUUUCAAGGGUAACCUUGAGAUACACUUAGCGGCGGACGGGUGAGUAAUACGUGGAUAACUUACCUCUAGGCCUGGGAUAACCCCGGGAACUGGGGCUAAUACCUGAUAAGACCACAUUGUCUACGGACAAAGGGGUAAAAGGUGGCUGUGCAAACAGCUAUCGCCAAAAGAUAGGUUCACGUCCCAUCAGGCAGUGGUGAGGUAAUGGCUCACCAAACCAAAGACGGGUAGCCGGCCUUGGCGGGUGGAACGGCCACGCGGGGACUGAGAC